ACGAUCACGAUGCUCUGCCUUUUUUUCUACACCGCCGUCUAUACCGUGAACGUAAUGGGUUUUACGCUGCAGGCGCUGUUUGUUGUUCUCAGUAGUGUCUGCUCAUGUGUGAUCUGCGUGAAAUACGGGGUCAGUCUAACUCUCUCCGCGGCCAGGCUCACCGAGGCGGCACACAGUCCCCUACAGGCUGUAAAUGACCUCGUAUUACUGGCGCCGUCAACUGAAGAGAAGUUUGAGAUGCACAUGUUUGGUACGAGACUAUCGUUGAUUGGACCCAGUAUCGGACUGACGGCUUGCAACUUCUUCGCCAUCAACAGAGGUUUACUU